CCAAUAGCGUAUAUUAAAGUUGUUGCAGUUAAAAAGCUCGUAGCUGAAUUUCGGGAUUGACGUGAUGGUCAUGCCUUAAGGGGUAUGAACUGUUGCAGUUGAUUUCUCACCUUCUGGAAAAACUUGAUGUCCUUUAUUGGGUGUCUUGCGGAUCCAGGACCUUUACCUUGAAAAAAUUAGAGUGUUUAAAGCAGGCAUUUUUGCUCGAAUACAUUAGCAUGGAAUAAUAGAAUAGGACGGCAUGGUUCUAUUUUGUUGGUUUCUAGGAUCACCGUAAUGAUUAAUAGGGAUAGUUGGGGGCAUUAGUAUUCAAUUGUCAGAGGUGAAAUUCUUGGAUCUAUUGAAGACUAACUACUGCGAAAGCAUUUGCCAAGGAUGUUUUCAUUAAUCAAGAACGAAAGUUAGGGGAUCGAAGACGAUCAGAUACCGUCGUAGUCUUAACCAUAAACUAUGCCGACUAGGAAUCAGACGAUGUUAAUUUUUUAAUGACUCGUUUGGCACCUUACG
rnacentral:rRNA from 1 species